rnacentral:tRNA from 1 species
AGUGGUUAAAGCUUGGCUGCUAACCAAAAUGUCGGUAGUUCGAAUCUACCAGCCACUC